UACGUAGGGGGCAAGCGUUGUCCGGAUUUAUUGGGCGUAAAGAGCGUGUAGGCGGCCAGACAGGUCAGCUGUGAAAACUCGAGGCUCAACCUCGAGACGUCGGUUGAAACCGUCUGGCUAGAGUCCGGAAAGAGGAGAGUGGAAUUCCCGGUGUAGCGGUGAAAUGCGCAGAUAUCGGGGAAGAACACCCGUGGCGAAGGCGGCUCUCUGGGACGGUACUGACGCGUGAGACGCGAAAGCGUGGGGAGCGAACAGG
rnacentral:rRNA from 1 species